rnacentral:lncRNA from 1 species
CCAGAUUAUUUAUCAGGUUUGUCCCACUCAAUUGUGUUUAAUCAGCCAGCUUGUCCCUCUCUUGUUUAUGAAAGCAGGCCCUUGUUUGCAUACAAAAAAUGGAGGCAUCAACAUUUUGUUUCUUGUCCUUAAUUUUGCUUGAGACAUUGACGUAUGCUCAUUUAAUUUUCACCUAAUCUUUUAGCUUUCCAAAUCAGAAAUGAACAAAGAAACAAUUAUAGCAUCUCAUAAAAUAUUGUAGAACUUUCCCACGUGAAACAUUAUACCCUAUCCGUAGGACCAUGUUGUAACAUUGUUAUUGUAAUCGAUGAUGAAGAGAGAAUUGUGAACUAAGUUCCCGACCACUUUGAUGGGAUUUUAUUUUUUUUUAUUUUUUUGUAGUUUCAUUCAAAUGGUAUAGGUUCACCCUGAACGAAAAAGAGGCCGGAAGGGGCACCACCGUUCGGCCAAAGUGCUAACUUGACUGGAAUCGCUGCACCUUCUUCGGGGGUUGAAUGACCGGUAUUGUAAUUUAUAUCGGUUUUGACAAAACCAGGGCAAACACAGUUGAUGCAGAAAUUUGGAUGCUUCUUGGCCAAAAUCCUUGUAUAGGCAUUCAUAGCUACUUUUGACACAGUAUAUGCUGAGAGGCAAGUUGGCCAUCCUUUACUUUCGAGUAAACCUUGCUUAAAAUCUUUUAGAUACUCACUUAUCAAGUCACUCAGUUUCUCCUCUGUUGUAAAGCCUGUUAAUACUCCUUUGAGCUGUUCACCGACCAUAUCCUGUUACAAGAAGUUGAGUCGAUAAGUUCCUUUUUGAAGUUUAUUAUCAAGGUUUUUAGGGUACUAUAUAUUUCAUAUAUCUACCUUUAACAUGACUGUAGAUGAGGAAAUAUUUACAAUCCUUGGUGAUUCAGAUAUUUGCAGCAAUGGAAUAAGUGCUUCUGUUGUUCUUUUAGCGCCAUAGUAGUUUGUUUUCAGGCAUUCUUCAGCUAACUCGUAAGUUUCAGUCGCUUUACUCCAUAUACUCGAAUAUUCCUGUAUCUUUAACAAAAGAACUUAGGCUAUCAGGCUAUACUUUAUGUCCCCAAAAGCUUUGAUGAGAUGACUUACCUCAGUACCUGAAGCCACUGAAAAGGUUACACCUGAUAUCCCUGCAUUGUUAACCUGCACAAGAUCAUUGUUUUUAAGAACAUCUCUUUUUUUUCAUAGGGUUUUAUUAAUAUGGUAUAUAUGUUUUGAUAAUUGAUACCAAGAUAUCUAACUUCCCAAAUUGUUCCUUUACAAAAUCUGCCAAAGAAGCGAUGCUUUUGGGUUUUGUCACAUCAAGCUGGUGAAAAGCGAGACGAUCCGAUAAACCGGAGUGUUUCAGACUCUGAAGAGCCUCAACACCUCUUUUCUCAUCUCUAGCAGUUAAUAUCACUAUGGUCCCAUUUCGGGCUAACUGCUUGCAAAUUUCAAGCCCAAUACCCUUGUUUGCUCCAGUGACAACUGCAUACCUGACAAAAAUAGUUAAUGUCAUGUUAGAGUGUUAUUAUGGCAAAUAUAAAACCUCGAUUAAGAAAUUGCUACCUUUGCAUGGUGUCUGUCAUGUUGAGAUGGUCCAGAUGGAGUUGAGUAGCUAGAGUGAAACAAAUGGAAACUAUAACACUAUUUUUUAUGCCAAUUAUUGCACUGAUGAACUGAAGAAGGAAACUCCUAAUUAUAAACAUGGCUUUCAUUGUCAAAUUAAAACUACUUUAAUGUGUGCAGUUGAGAUCUCUUUUCAGAAUUCUCUUUCAUUUUCUCCAUACAUGAGAGUCUAUGUUACUAGUAUUUGUGUCUAACAGUCGGAUACACGUGUAUAUUCCAUACGGAUAUGUUAAUGUUAUAUGGGUAAACUACAUUUAAGGUCAUUAAAUUAUUAUUAAAUUUACAUUUUGGUUACUCAACUUUAAAAAGUUUCAAAAAUGACCAUUAAAGUCAACAAAACUUUUCAUUUAAGUCAUUCGGCUAUUAAAAUCGUUGUUGUAUAGCCUUCUUUGUUCACACCACCUACACCUAUCGAAAGCUCUUCUUUCACUUUUUUUGUACAAUCCAAUUUUUUUACAUAAAAUAGCUUUGAUCAUCACAAAUAUAUAAAUUAAUAUCCAAACAUUUUUUUCUCAAUCACUGACACUGGCCGUCAGAUUAAUUUAGAUCUAAGGUAUAUGCUUCUACUCAUCGAUGGUACCGAUUGUUGAAUCAUCUUUGGAGCUUGCUAGUCGAACCUAUCCAUGUAUAAUGGAGUAGGAUAGUCAAAACACAUGUAUUUAAAAAAAUUUGAGGAGUUUGGUGAUGAUGCUCUUUGAUAAUAUUCACUACACCAAAACAGGCUUUUAGCGGCGUCUUUUUAGACCUUUAGCGGCGUUUUUUAGCGUCGCUAAAACUAUUUGCGGAGCUUUGAGAAGCGCCGCUAAUGACAGCGCCGCUAACAUUAGCGGCGUUUUUAUAAAUAAAUGCCGCUAAAGACCAAGACCUUUAGCGGCGCUUCUCCCACAAACGCCGCUAAAGACCAAGACCUUUAGCGACGCUUCUCCCACAAAUGCCGCUAAAGACCAAGAUCUUUAGCGGCGCUAUUCCCACAAUGCCGCUAAAGACCAUGACCUUUAGCAGCGCUUUUAACACAAACGCCGCUAUAGAAUAGAUCUUCAGCGGCGCUUUUCUAAAAACGCCGCUAAAAAUAUAUCUUUUAAAAAAAUAAUUUUUUUUCAAAUAAUAUUUAUUUCUAUGAUAAAUAUUAUAUUAUGUUUUAAGGAUAAACAAAAAAUAUUAUUUAAAUUAAAUUUUCUACGAAAAUUUUACUUUUAAAACUAAAUAUAAAUAUAAAAAUUAAUGAAUUUAAAUUUAGAAUUUAAAAUAAUAAAUUGAUAACACAAUUAAAAUCCAAAUUAUUAGUAAAUUUAUAUUUUAGUUAUUCAACUUUAAAAAGUUACAAAAUGAUCAUUAAACUCAACAAAACUUUUCAUUUAAAUCAUUGGGCUAUUAAAAUCGUUGUUGUAUAGCCUUCUUUGUUCACACCAACUACACCUAUCGAAAGCUCUUCUUUCACUUUUUUUGUACAAUCCAAUUUUUUUACAUAAAAUAGCUUUGAUUGUCACAAAUAUAUAAAUUAAUAUCCAAACAAUUUUUUUCUCAAUCACUGACACUGACCGUCAGAUUAAUUUAGAUCUAAGGUAUAUACUUCUACUCAUCGAUGGUACCAAUUGUUGAAUCAUCUUUGGAGCUUGCUAGUCGAACCUAUCCCUGUAUAAUGGAGCAGGGUAGUCAAAACACAUGUAUUUAAAAAAAAUUGAGGAGUUUGGUGAUGAUGCUCUUUGAUAAUAUUAUUUCAAUAGUUAAUGUAUCGAAAUUUAUCAACAACUCCAGAUUAUUUAUCAGGUUUGUCCCACUCAAUUGUGUUUAAUCAGCCAGCUUGUUCCUCUCUUGUUUAUGAAAGCAGGCCCUUGUUUGCAUACAAAAAAUGGAGGCAUCAACAUUUUGUUUCUUGUCCUUAAUUUUGCUUGAGACAUUGACGUAUGCUCAUUUAAUUUUCACCUAAUCUUUUAGCUUUCCAAAUCAGAAAUGAACAAAGAAAC